rnacentral:rRNA from 1 species
AUACGGAGGAUGCGAGCGUUAUCCGGAUUUACUGGGUUUAAAGGGAGCGCAGGCGGAGAUGCAAGCGUGACGUCAAAUUUCGGGGCUCAACCCCGUCUCGCGUCGCGAACUGCGUCCCUUGGUUGCGGGAAGGGGAGGCGGAACUCGUGGUGUAGCGGUGAAAUGCAUAGAUAUCACGAAGAACUCCGAUCGCGAAGGCAGCCUUCCGGCCCGUCAACGACGCUCAUGCUCGAAGGUGCGGGUAUCAAACAGGAUUAGAUACCCUGGUAGUCCGCACAGUAAACGAUGGACACCCGCGGUUUGGCCUAUAUGGCUGAGCCGCCAAGCGAAAGCGUUAAGUGUCCCACCUGGGGAGUACGCCGGCAACGGUGAAACUCAAAGGAAUUGACGGGG